UUCGGCAUUGUGAUCCUGCACUGCGAGAGGAUGAAUUAUGUUUUUGGGGAGCGCUUUGCACGACUACUAAAAUUCAUCAUCACAGGUCAUCUACCGUACAAGUCGGGCAGUCCUACUCAUCGCCGUCAACAGCAGAUCGUUGUAACAUCGUCCUUAACACCAUCGCUCCUACAACAACUAACUAACAGUAUGUUCUUCGUGAUAUGUUCAUGUCUCUUUCUGUAGUUGCUACUUCAUGUGUGAUGAUGAUGUGCAUACUCUGUUGUUCAUCUAGUUUGUUAGAUUGUUGCACGCUAGCUUCCUCUUUAGUCAUGAAUUGUUUACUGAAAUUAAUCAUAAUCUUGCCUAAUUUUCCAACAAGAUGUUUGCGACCAGGCUGCUAGUUGCAAGGUGUAUGCAGGAGGGGAAGGCAGCACUGGACCGUUCUAUGCGUCUGAUCUAAUGGUUGGCUACUCGACUGACUUUUUGGAACCUAGCGCUUUGGACCCUUCAUAAUUUUUACUUUUGACGGUAGAACUAAGAGCAUGUCCCUCGGGGGUAGAAAUUGGCUACAUGAAUUUUUGUGUUGCAGAGACUAUAGCUCCAAGUUUAUUCGAUGACGUGCAUGCAUGGUACAUUUAUGUAUUUGAACCUGAAACAUGUANGGAACGGAGGGAGUAUUAGUGAGCGAGGUUCAGACAGAUCUGGAUUUGAAUACUUGGCGUGG
rnacentral:lncRNA from 1 species